AUUGAACGCUGGCGGCAGGCCUAACACAUGCAAGUCGAGCGGAUGAAGGGAGCUUGCUCCUGGAUUCAGCGGCGGACGGGUGAGUAAUGCCUAGGAAUCUGCCUGGUAGUGGGUGAUAACGUCCGGAAACGGGCGCUAAUACCGCAUACGUCCUGAGGGAGAAAGUGGGGGAUCUUCGGACCUCACGCUAUCAGAUGAGCCUAGGUCGGAUUAGCUAGUUGGUGGGGUAAAGGCCUACCAGGGCGACGAUCCGUAACUGGUCUGAGAGGAUGAUCAGUCACACUGGAACUGAGACACGGUCCAGACUCCUACGGGAGGCAGCAGUGGGGAAUAUUGGACAAUGGGCGAAAGCCUGAUCCAGCCAUGCCGCGUGUGUGAAGAAGGUCUUCGGAUUGUAAAGCACUUUAAGUUGGGAGGAAGGGCAGUAAGUUAAUACCUUGCUGUUUUGACGUUACCAACAGAAUAAGCACCGGCUAACUUCGUG
rnacentral:rRNA from 1 species